rnacentral:rRNA from 1 species
GACGAACGCUGGCGGCGCGCCUAAUACAUGCAAGUCGAGCGUGAACCCGGGCUUUCGGCCCGGGGGAAGACGGCGAACGGGUGCGUAACACGUGAGCAACCUGCCCCGAACGACCGGGAUAACACCGGGAAACCGGGUGCUAAUACCGGAUGUCCUCCUCCCAUCGCAUGACGGGAAGAGGAAAUGGAUUCCGCUUCGGGAUGGCUCGCGGCCUAUCAGCUUGUUGGUGGGGUAACGGCCUACCAAGGCGGACGACGGGUAGCUGGUCUGAGAGGACGAUCAGCCACACUGGGACGUGAGACACGGCCCAGACUCCUACGGGAGGCAGCAGUAGGGAAUCUUGCGCAAUGGGCGAAAGCCUGACGCAGCGACGCCGCGUGCGGGAUGAAGGCC